GGACUACACGGGUUUCUAAUCCCAUUUGCUACCCUGGCUUUCGUUCCUCAGCGUCAAUUACGGCCCAGUAAAGCGCUUACGCCACCGAUGUUCCUCCUGAUAUCUAAGCAUUUCACCGCUACACCAGGAAUUCCCUUUACCUCUACCGCAUUCCAGCUUGCAAGUAUCAAGUGCCAUACACAGGUUGAGCCUGCGCCUUUAACACCUGACUUUACAUGCCGCCUACGAACUCUUUACGCCCAAUGAUUCCGGACAACGCUUGCACCCUCCGUAUUACCGCGGCUGCUGGCAC
rnacentral:misc_RNA from 1 species